GGAUCGUGACUCAGUGGUAGAGUGCUCGCCUAGCAUGUACGAGGCACUGGGUUCGAUCCUCAGCACCA
rnacentral:tRNA from 1 species